GAUGAACGCUGGCGGCGUGCCUAAUACAUGCCAGUCGAGCGAGCGGACGAGAAGCUUGCUUCUCUGAUGUUAGCGGCGGACGGGUGAGUAACACGUGGAUAACCUACCUAUAAGACUGGGAUAACUUCGGGAAACCGGAGCUAAUACCGGAUAAUAUUUUGAACCGCAUGGUUCAAAAGUGAAAGACGGUCUUGCUGUCACUUAUAGAUGGAUCCGCGCUGCAUUAGCUAGUUGGUAAGGUAACGGCUUACCAAGGCAACGAUGCAUAGCCGACCUGAGAGGGUGAUCGGCCACACUGGAACUGAGACACGGUCCAGACUCCUACGGGAGGCAGCAGUAGGGAAUCUUCCGCAAUGGGCGAAAGCCCGACGGAGCAACGCCGCGUGAGUGAUGAAGGUCUUCGGAUCGUAAAACUCUGUUAUUAGGGAAGAACAUAUGUGUAAGUAACUGUGCACAUCUUGACGGUACCUAAUCAGAAAGCCACGGCUAACUACGUG
rnacentral:rRNA from 1 species